rnacentral:rRNA from 1 species
UACGAACGGUCCAAACGUUAUUCGGAAUCACUGGGCUUAAAGCGUCCGUAGGCGGCUCGGAAAGUAGGGUGUGAAAUCCCACGGCUCAACCGUGGAAUUGCGCUCUAAACUAUCGAGCUAGAGGGAGAUAGAGGUGAGCGGAACUGAUGGUGGAGCGGUGAAAUGCGUUGAUAUCAUCAGGAACACCGGAGGCGAAGGCGGCUCACUGGUCCGGUACUGACGCUGAGGUGCGAAAGCGUGGGGAGCAAACAGG